rnacentral:rRNA from 1 species
AAUAAUGCGACUUAAUUUUGAUUAGAGUUAAUAAAAAGUUUAAGUUAAAAUUAAAAAGGAAAUUUAUUAGGUGAAAUUAUUAAAUUUUUAAAAGUUUUAUAAUUGAUGUUGAGAAGGUUUUUAAAUAGACUAGGAUUAGAUACCCUAUUAUUAAAAAUAUAAAUAAGUUUCUAGAUUAGUAGUAGUUAUGUUCUUGAAAAUUAAAAAAUUUGGCGGUAUUUUAGUCUAUUCAGAGGAACCUGUUCUGUAAUUGAUAGUCCACGAUUUAAUUAACUUUUUUUAUUAGUUUAUAUAUCGUCGUAGUUUGAAUAUUUUAUAAGAAAGAUAAUAUUCAUAAUUUUAAUAAAAAAUUAAAUCAGAUCAAGGUAUAGCGUAUAAAAAAGUAGUAAUGGGUUACAUUAUUUAUAUAUGAGGAAUGAAGUAUUUAAAAUUUUUAUGAAUAUGGAUUUGAUAGUAAUUUUAGCUAGAUAGAUAAUAUGAAGAUAGCUCUAAAAUAUGCACAUAUUGCCCGUCGCUUUCAUUUAAGGUGAAAUAAGUCGUAACAAAGUAGAUUUACUGGAAAGUGAAUCUGGAAAGGACAAAUUAGAGCUUGAUAAAAGCAUUUUAGUUACAUUAAAAAGUUAAUUGUGAAAUUCAAUUUAAUUUGAAUGGAAAUUAUUAUUAAUUUUUUUAUUGAUAAUAAAUUAAAAAAAGUAGUUAAUUAAUUUUAGUAUAAUAGAAGAAAAAAAAUCAAUAAUUAUAGUAAAUUAAGUAUUGUGAGAGAAUUAAUUAUGUAAAUUAAAGUAAAUUUUAAUAUUG